GGCUGGAUAGCUCAGUUGGUAGAGCAGCGGAUUGAAAAUCCGCGUGUCCCCAGUUCGAUUCUGGGUCCAGCCACCA
rnacentral:tRNA from 1 species